rfam:Homo sapiens chromosome 1 genomic contig HG2095_PATCH, GRC reference assembly FIX PATCH for GRCh38.
GCUGGGCGUGGUGGCGGGCGCCUGUAAUCCCAGCUACUUGGGAGGCUGAGGCAGGAGAAUUACUCGAACCCAGGAGGCAGAGGCUGCAGUGAGCUGAGAUCGUGCCACUGCACUCCAGCCUGGGUGACAGAGUGAGACUCUGUCUCAA